UGCCUACGGGAGGCAGCAGUGGGGAAUAUUGCACAAUGGGGGAAACCCUGAUGCAGCAACGCCGCGUGAGUGAAGAAGUCAUUCGUGAUGUAAAGCUCUAUCAGCAGGGAAGAAAAUGACGGUACCUGAGUAAGAAGCCCCGGCUAACUACGUGCCAGCAGCCGCGGUAAUACGUAGGGGGCAAGCGUUAUCCGGAAUUACUGGGUGUAAAGGAGCGUAGACGGCAAUGCAAGUCCGGAGUGGAAUGCGGCAGCUCAACUGCCGAACUGCUCCGGAAACUGUAUGGCUUGAGUGCAGGAGGGGUA
rnacentral:rRNA from 1 species